AGAGUUUGAUCGUGGCUCAGAUUGAACGCUGGCGGCAGGCCUAACACAUGCAAGUCGAACGUGAAAGCUCUUCGGAGUGAGUAGAGUGGCGGACGGGUGACUAACGCGUAGGAAUCUACCUAGUAGUGGGGGACAACAUGUGGAAACGCAUGCUAAUACCGCAUACGCCCUAUGGGGGAAAGCGGGGGAUCUUCGGACCUCGUGCUAUUGGAUGAGCCUGCGUAAGAUUAGCUAGUUGGUGGGGUAAAGGCCUACCAAGGCGACGAUCUUUAGCUGGUCUGAGAGGGUGGUCAGCCACACUGGAACUGAGACACGGUCCAGACUCCUAUGGGAGGCAGCAGUGGGGAAUAUUGCGCAAUGGAGGAAACUCUGACGCAGCCAUGCCGCGUGUGUGAAGAAGGCCUUCGGGUUGUAAAGCACUUUAAGCGAGGAGGAAAGGUUGCUGGUUAAUAACCAGUAGCUGUGACGUUACUCGCAGAAUAAGCACCGGCUAAUUCAGUGCCAGCAGCCGCGGUAAUACUGAAGGUGCAAGCGUUAAUCGGAAUUACUGGGCGUAAAGCGCACGUAGGCGGUUCGUUAAGUUGGAUGUGAAAGCCCAGGGCUUAACCUUGGAACUGCAUCCGAUACUGGCGAGCUAGAAUAUAGGAGAGGGAGGUAGAAUUUCAGGUGUAGCGGUGAAAUGCGUAGAGAUCUGAAGGAAUACCAGUGGCGAAGGCGGCCUCCUGGCCUAAUAUUGACGCUGAGUGCGAAAGCGUGUGGGGAGCAAACAGGAUUAGAUACCCUGGUAGUCCACGCCGUAAACGAUGUCUACUAGUCGUCGGGAUCCUUGAGGUCUUGGUGACGAAGCUAACGCGAUAAGUAGACCGCCUGGGGAGUACGGCCGCAAGGUUAAAACUCAAAUGAAUUGACGGGGGCCCGCACAAGCGGUGGAGCAUGUGGUUUAAUUCGCAGCAACGCGAAAAACCUUACCAGGUCUUGAGAUUCAGAAUCCAAUGAACUUUCCAGAGAUGGAUUGGUGCCUUCGGGAACAUUGAGACAGGUGCUGCAUGGCUGUCGUCAGCUCGUGUGUCGUGAGAUUUGGGUUAAGUCCCGUAACGAGCGCAACCCUUAUCCUUAUUUGCCAGCACGUAAUGGUGGGAACUCUAAGGAGACUGCCGGUGACAAACCGGAGGAAGGUGGGGACGACGUCAAGUCAUCAUGGCCCUUACGACCUGGGCUACACACGUGCUACAAUGGCCGGUACAGAGGGCUGCAAUACCGCGAGGUGGAGCGAAUCUCAGAAAACCGGUCGUAGUCCGGAUUGGAGUCUGCAACUCGACUCCAUGAAGUCGGAAUCGCUAGUAAUCGCGAAUCAGAAUGUCGCGGUGAAUACGUUCCCGGGCCUUGUACACACCGCCCGGCACACCAUGGGAGUGGAUUGCACCAGAAGUAGGUAGCUUAACCCUCGGGAGAGCGCUUACCACGGUGUGGUUCAUGACUGGGGUGAAGUCGGAACAAGGUAG
rnacentral:rRNA from 1 species